AGUGAACGCUGGCGGUAGGCCUAACACAUGCAAGUCGAACGGCAGCACAGUAAGAGCUUGCUCUUACGGGUGGCGAGUGGCGGACGGGUGAGGAAUACAUCGGCAUCUACUUUUUCGUGGGGGAUAACGUAGGGAAACUUACGCUAAUACCGCAUACGACCUACGGGUGAAAGCAGGGGAUCUUCGGACCUUUCGCGAUUGAAUGAGCCGAUGUCGGAUUAGCUAGUUGGCGGGGUAAAGGCCCACCAAGGCGACGAUGCGUAGCUGGUCUGAGAGGAUGAUCAGCCACACUGGAACUGAGACACGGUCCAGACUCCUACGGGAGGCAGCAGUGGGGAAUAUUGGACAAUGGGCGCAAGCCUGAUCCAGCCAUACCGCGUGGGUGAAGAAGGCCUUCGGGUUGUAAAGCCCUUUUGUUGGGAAAGAAAAGCAGCAGGUGAAUACCCCGCUGUUCUGACGGUACCCAAAGAAUAAGCACCGGCUAACUUCGUG
rnacentral:rRNA from 1 species